rnacentral:rRNA from 1 species
AGCGUACACGGUGGAUGCCCUGGCAGUCAGAGGCGAUGAAGGACGUGCUAAUCUGCGAUAAGCGUCGGUAAGGUGAUAUGAACCGUUAUAACCGGCGAUUUCCGAAUGGGGAAACCCAGUGUGUUUCGACACACUAUCAUUAACUGAAUCCAUAGGUUAAUGAGGCGAACCGGGGGAACUGAAACAUCUAAGUACCCCGAGGAAAAGAAAUCAACCGAGAUUCCCCCAGUAGCGGCGAGCGAACGGGGAGGAGCCCAGAGCCUGAAUCAGUGUGUGUGUUAGUGGAAGCGUCUGGAAAGGCGCGCGAUACAGGGUGACAGCCCCGUACACAAAAAUGCACAUACUGUGAGCUCGAUGAGUAGGGCGGGACACGUGGUAUCCUGUCUGAAUAUGGGGGGACCAUCCUCCAAGGCUAAAUACUCCUGACUGACCGAUAGUGAACCAGUACCGUGAGGGAAAGGCGAAAAGAACCCCGGCGAGGGGAGUGAAAAAGAACCUGAAACCGUGUACGUACAAGCAGUGGGAGCCUCUUUUAUGGGGUGACUGCGUACCUUUUGUAUAAUGGGUCAGCGACUUAUAUUCUGUAGCAAGGUUAACCGAAUAGGGGAGCCGAAGGGAAACCGAGUCUUAACUGGGCGUUAAGUUGCAGGGUAUAGACCCGAAACCCGGUGAUCUAGCCAUGGGCAGGUUGAAGGUUGGGUAACACUAACUGGAGGACCGAACCGACUAAUGUUGAAAAAUUAGCGGAUGACUUGUGGCUGGGGGUGAAAGGCCAAUCAAACCGGGAGAUAGCUGGUUCUCCCCGAAAGCUAUUUAGGUAGCGCCUCGUGAAUUCAUCUCCGGGGGUAGAGCACUGUUUCGGCAAGGGGGUCAUCCCGACUUACCAACCCGAUGCAAACUGCGAAUACCGGAGAAUGUUAUCACGGGAGACACACGGCGGGUGCUAACGUCCGUCGUGAAGAGGGAAACAACCCAGACCGCCAGCUAAGGUCCCAAAGUCAUGGUUAAGUGGGAAACGAUGUGGGAAGGCCCAGACAGCCAGGAUGUUGGCUUAGAAGCAGCCAUCAUUUAAAGAAAGCGUAAUAGCUCACUGGUCGAGUCGGCCUGCGCGGAAGAUGUAACGGGGCUAAACCAUGCACCGAAGCUGCGGCAGCGACACUUAUGUGUUGUUGGGUAGGGGAGCGUUCUGUAAGCCUGCGAAGGUGUGCUGUGAGGCAUGCUGGAGGUAUCAGAAGUGCGAAUGCUGACAUAAGUAACGAUAAAGCGGGUGAAAAGCCCGCUCGCCGGAAGACCAAGGGUUCCUGUCCAACGUUAAUCGGGGCAGGGUGAGUCGACCCCUAAGGCGAGGCCGAAAGGCGUAGUCGAUGGGAAACAGGUUAAUAUUCCUGUACUUGGUGUUACUGCGAAGGGGGGACGGAGAAGGCUAUGUUGGCCGGGCGACGGUUGUCCCGGUUUAAGCGUGUAGGCUGGUUUUCCAGGCAAAUCCGGAAAAUCAAGGCUGAGGCGUGAUGACGAGGCACUACGGUGCUGAAGCAACAAAUGCCCUGCUUCCAGGAAAAGCCUCUAAGCAUCAGGUAACAUCAAAUCGUACCCCAAACCGACACAGGUGGUCAGGUAGAGAAUACCAAGGCGCUUGAGAGAACUCGGGUGAAGGAACUAGGCAAAAUGGUGCCGUAACUUCGGGAGAAGGCACGCUGAUAUGUAGGUGAAGCGACUUGCUCGUGGAGCUGAAAUCAGUCGAAGAUACCAGCUGGCUGCAACUGUUUAUUAAAAACACAGCACUGUGCAAACACGAAAGUGGACGUAUACGGUGUGACGCCUGCCCGGUGCCGGAAGGUUAAUUGAUGGGGUUAGCGGUAACGCGAAGCUCUUGAUCGAAGCCCCGGUAAACGGCGGCCGUAACUAUAACGGUCCUAAGGUAGCGAAAUUCCUUGUCGGGUAAGUUCCGACCUGCACGAAUGGCGUAAUGAUGGCCAGGCUGUCUCCACCCGAGACUCAGUGAAAUUGAACUCGCUGUGAAGAUGCAGUGUACCCGCGGCAAGACGGAAAGACCCCGUGAACCUUUACUAUAGCUUGACACUGAACAUUGAGCCUUGAUGUGUAGGAUAGGUGGGAGGCUUUGAAGUGUGGACGCCAGUCUGCAUGGAGCCGACCUUGAAAUACCACCCUUUAAUGUUUGAUGUUCUAACGUUGGCCCCUGAUCGGGGUUGCGGACAGUGUCUGGUGGGUAGUUUGACUGGGGCGGUCUCCUCCUAAAGAGUAACGGAGGAGCACGAAGGUUGGCUAAUCCUGGUCGGACAUCAGGAGGUUAGUGCAAUGGCAUAAGCCAGCUUGACUGCGAGCGUGACGGCGCGAGCAGGUGCGAAAGCAGGUCAUAGUGAUCCGGUGGUUCUGAAUGGAAGGGCCAUCGCUCAACGGAUAAAAGGUACUCCGGGGAUAACAGGCUGAUACCGCCCAAGAGUUCAUAUCGACGGCGGUGUUUGGCACCUCGAUGUCGGCUCAUCACAUCCUGGGGCUGAAGUAGGUCCCAAGGGUAUGGCUGUUCGCCAUUUAAAGUGGUACGCGAGCUGGGUUUAGAACGUCGUGAGACAGUUCGGUCCCUAUCUGCCGUGGGCGCUGGAGAACUGAGGGGGGCUGCUCCUAGUACGAGAGGACCGGAGUGGACGCAUCACUGGUGUUCGGGUUGUCAUGCCAAUGGCACUGCCCGGUAGCUAAAUGCGGAAGAGAUAAGUGCUGAAAGCAUCUAAGCACGAAACUUGCCCCGAGAUGAGUUCU